AGGAUGAACGCCGGCGGUGUGCCUAAUACAUGCAAGUCGAGCGCACUGGCCCAACUGAUAUGACGUGCUUGCACUGAAUUGACGUUGGAUUCCCAGUGAGCGGCGGACGGGUGAGUAACACGUGGGCAACCUGCCCUGAAGCGGGGGAUAACAUCUGGAAACAGGUGCUAAUACCGCAUAACAACGAAAACCACAUGGUUUUCGUUUCAAAGAUGGUUUCGGCUAUCACUUCAGGAUGGGCCCGCGGUGCAUUAGCUAGUUGGUAAGGUAACGGCUUACCAAGGCGAUGAUGCAUAGCCGAGUUGAGAGACUGAUCGGCCACAAUGGAACUGAGACACGGUCCAUACUCCUACGGGAGGCAGCAGUAGGGAAUCUUCCACAAUGGGCGCAAGCCUGAUGGAGCAACACCGCGUGAGUGAAGAAGGGUUUCGGCUCGUAAAGCUCUGUUGUUGGAGAAGAACGUGCGUGAGAGUAACUGUUCACGCAGUGACGGUAUCCAACCAGAAAGUCACGGCUAACUACGUGCCAGCAGCCGCGGUAAUACGUAGGUGGCAAGCGUUGUCCGGAUUUAUUGGGCGUAAAGCGAGUGCAGGCGGCUCGAUAAGUCUGAUGUGAAAGCCUUCGGCUCAACCGGAGAAUUGCAUCAGAAACUGUCGAGCUUGAGUACAGAAGAGGAGAGUGGAACUCCAUGUGUAGCGGUGAAAUGCGUAGAUAUAUAGAAGAACACCGGUGGCGAAGGCGGCUCUCUGGUCUGUUACUGACGCUGAGGCUCGAAAGCAUGGGUAGCGAACAGGAUUAGAUACCCUGGUAGUCCAUGCCGUAAACGAUGAGUGCUAAGUGUUGGGAGGUUUCCGCCUCUCAGUGCUGCAGCUAACGCAUUAAGCACUCCGCCUGGGGAGUACGACCGCAAGGGUUGAAACUCAAAGGAAUUGACGGGG
rnacentral:rRNA from 1 species